rnacentral:rRNA from 1 species
AAUAGAUACCCCGGUAGUCCACGCCGUAAACGGUGGGCACUAGGUGUGGGCGACAUUCCACGUCGUCCGUGCCGCAGCUAACGCAUUAAGUGCCCCGCCUGGGGAGUACGGCCGCAAGGCUAAAAACUCAAAGGAAUUGACGGGGGCCCGCACAAGCGGCGGAGCAUGUGGCUUAAUUCGACGCAACGCGAAGAACCUUACCAAGGCUUGACAUACACCGGAAACGUCCAGAGAUGGGCGCCCCCUUGUGGUCGGUGUACAGGUGGUGCAUGGCUGUCGUCAGCUCGUGUCGUGAGAUGUUGGGUUAAGUCCCGCAACGAGCGCAACCCUUGUCCCGUGUUGCCAGCAGGCCCUUGUGGUGCUGGGGACUCACGGGUAGACCGCCGGGGUCAACUCGGAGGAAGGUGGGGACGACGUCAAGGUCAUCAUGCCCCUUAUGUCUUGGGCUGCACACGUGCUACAAUGGCCGGUACAAUGAGCUGCGAUACCGCGAGGUGGAGCGAAUCUCAAAAAGCCGGUCUCAGUUCGGAUUGGGGU